GACGAACGCUGGCGGCGUGCCUAAUACAUGCAAGUUGAGCGAUGAAGAUUGGUGCUUGCACCAAUUUGAAGAGCAGCGAACGGGUGAGUAACGCGUGGGGAAUCUGCCUUUGAGCGGGGGACAACAUUUGGAAACGAAUGCUAAUACCGCAUAACAACUUUAAACAUAAGUUUUAAGUUUGAAAGAUGCAAUUGCAUCACUCAAAGAUGAUCCCGCGUUGUAUUAGCUAGUUGGUGAGGUAAAGGCUCACCAAGGCGAUGAUACAUAGCCGACCUGAGAUGGUGAUCGGCCACAUUGGGACUGAGACACGGCCCAUACGCCUACAGGAGGCAGCAGUAGGGAAUCGUCGGCAAUGGACGAAAGUCUGACCGAGCAACGCCGCGUGAGUGAGGAAGGUUUUCGGAUCGUAAAACUCGGUUGGUAGAGAAGAACGUUGGUGAGAGUGGAAAGCUCAUCAAGUGACGGUAACUACCCAGAAAGGGACGGCUAACUACGUG
rnacentral:rRNA from 1 species